AGCAGCCGCGGUAAUUCCAGCUCCAAUAGCGUAUAUUAAAGUUGUUGCAGUUAAAAAGCUCGUAGUUGAAUUUCGGGGUUAGUAGGUUGGUCGUGCCACUGGUAUGCACUGGCUUUACUGACUCCUCCUUCUUGAAGAACUGUAAUGUCAUUAAUUUGGUGUUGCAGGGAAACAGGACUGUUACUUUGAAAAAUUAGAGUGUUUAAAGCAGGCUAACGCUUGAAUACAUUAGCAUGGAAUAAUGAAAUAGGACGUUUAAUUCUAUUUUGUUGGUUUCUAGGAUUGACGUAAUGAUUAAUAGGGAUAGUUGGGGGCAUUAGUAUUCAAUUGUCAGAGGUGAAAUUCUUGGAUUUAUUGAAG
rnacentral:rRNA from 1 species